rnacentral:rRNA from 1 species
UACGAAGGGGGCUAGCGUUGCUCGGAAUCACUGGGCGUAAAGCGCACGUAGGCGGCUUUCUAAGUCAGGGGUGAAAUCCUGGAGCUCAACUCCAGAACUGCCUUUGAUACUGGAGAGCUUGAGUCCGGAAGAGGUGAGUGGAACUCCGAGUGUAGAGGUGAAAUUCGUAGAUAUCGGGAGGAACACCAGUGGCGAAGGCGGCGACCUGGGCCAAUAUUGACGCUGAGGUGCGAAAGCGUGGGGAGCAAACAGG